rnacentral:rRNA from 1 species
GUGGGGAAUAUUGGACAAUGGGCGAAAGCCUGAUCCAGCCAUGCCGCGUGUGUGAAGAAGGUCUUCGGAUUGUAAAGCACUUUAAGUUGGGAGGAAGGGCAUUAACCUAAUACGUUAGUGUUUUGACGUUACCGACAGAAUAAGCACCGGCUAACUUCGUGCCAGCAGCCGCGGUAAUACGAAGGGUGCAAGCGUUAAUCGGAAUUACUGGGCGUAAAGCGCGCGUAGGUGGUUCGUUAAGUUGGAUGUGAAAGCCCCGGGCUCAACCUGGGAACUACAUCCAAAACUGGCGAGCUAGAGUACGGUAGAGGGUGGUGGAAUUUCCUGUGUAGCGGUGAAAUGCGUAGAUAUAGGAAGGAACACCAGUGGCGAAGGCGACCACCUGGACUGAUACUGACACUGAGGUGCGAAAGCGUGGGGAGCAAACAGGAUUAGAAACCCUGGUAGUCC